CAUCAGCUUUAAGCUUCCACUUUAAUUAAACCUGCAUUACAUUAUUCUUUAGUACCAAAGACUAAAUUCUUUAAAGACUAAUGUGUCAAUACAUCCAAGCCCAGAGUCGCCUUUUGAAUCCAUAAAACCAGCCCACGGAGGGGUCCCACCAGCAGCCCUUGGCCAAGAAAAAGGAGGCAUCCUAUUUGUACUCUGAAAGUCCUGGAGCAAAAAUCAGAAAGCAUCUGAAGAGAAUGCACCCCUUGGUUGUGCCUCCAGGCACAUCGUGAAGACACGGGCCUUUCCGUUCCUGUGUUUCCCCUUCGGAUUUGUGAUGCAGACAAACAAUGCGAAGACAACUGUCCCCAUUAAAACACACUGAUACUGCGAUGACGUUAUCAUCAGAAAAGCAAUCAGGAGAAGGCUCACGGGGGCAGGUAUUCAGAUCCUGAGGAUUUCUCCCCCCACCCCCCCAUCAUCGCAGCUUCCAGGAACUGUAUUCCAGCCACCGGCAAGCAUAAGCAAGGCAGAGGGAGGAAAGACGCCUGGUCUCUGUGCCUCUAAAUGGAGACGGAAGUGUCUGCUGUGCCGAGGGCUUCUGGAGUCUGUGCCUCGUCGUGAUUUUCUUCUGCAAAGGGAGUUUCUUUUCCUUUUGUUUUUCUUUUUGAACAAACAAGACCAGAUCAUGGGACCUCAUACGAUGGAGCCCCUUUACAGGAAUCCCAGCUGCCAAAUCGGAGUGGGACAUUGUCAGAAUGACAGGAAUCAGGCCCCGGGAGAGUCUCAGCCCCAGGGGAAGGCAGCUCAAAGGGGAAACGGCCAGCUUCCUUGAACGCUGCCAGGUGCACAGCGCAGAUACGCCCUGGGAGGGAACGAGGAAGAGGAAAAGAGAACCAUGAGGCAGGGAAACUGAUCAACUCCACUCACAGGAUCCGAACCCAACCCGAAGAGCAAGCCGAGUCUGACGAGGCUUUCAGUCUCAGGUCCAUUUUGCAAAAUGAAUGAAAUGUGUCUCAAUCGCCGGCUGCCCCCAGGCAGAGAUUCUGCAGCAGAAGAUGAGCUGCAGAGAGAGGUCCGGUCCCCUGAUCCUAGGCCAGCAGUCUCCUGGCUUUGCCUCCUGUUGACCAUGUCCAAGGAGAAGGUGGCAUCUCACAUCUGGAGAGUGAGUUUCACAGGGGUUUUACGACCAGGCCGAUCCUGUUCCAUCCUAGCCACGUGCCACGUGUUAGGCUGGCCGUGAUGCUGUUGUGCUCUUUACAGCCAGCAAUGCUGGGUCUUAGAGGUUACACUAGGCCACACAUAGUCCUUUAUUUUUUUUAUGUUUUAUAUUACUUAGGUAAUUUUAAUUCUUCAUUAAAAUUGUGUUUAUUUUGUCAUAAUUUAUUCAGCAUUGUUUCUUUUUUCUAUAUUUUUAUUAAAGUAUAGUUGAUUUACCAUGUUGUGCCAAUUUCUGCUGUACAGCAAAGUGACCCAGUCAUAUAUACACACACACACACACAUUCUCUUUCUUAUAUUAUCUUACAUUAUCUGCAGUCAUGGUCUAUCCCAAGAGACUGGAUAUAGUUCCCUGUGCACAGCAGGACCUCAUUGCUUAUCCAUCUGAACCAUUCUUGUACUCAGCUAUGGUACGGAUACGUUGACCUGUUCUUGGAACACACUAGGCUUGGUCCAGCUCCGGCCUUUUGUAUCUUCCUCUGUCUACAGCAUACUUCUCUUGGCUAUUUUUUGGAGGUUCUCAUAUUUUUUUUUUCCUCUCUCUCUCUCUUAAAAAAAAUUGUUUUUUAUAAUUAAAGUAUGAUUGGUUUACAUUGUGGUGCCAAUUUCUGCUGUACAGUAAAGUGACCCAGUCAUACAUAUACAUACGUUCUCCUCACAUCAUCCCCCCUCAUGGUUUAUCCCAAGAGACUGGAUGUAACUCCCUGUGCUGGUCCCAAUGUGUUCUCAUUGCCCAUCCAUUCCAAAUGUAACAAUUUGCAUCUACUACCCCCAAACUCCCAGUCCAACCCACUCCCUUCAUUUUCAUAGCACGGAAGCCUCCAAUCCAGGUCUUCUACCCCCCCCACCCCAACUGCACGACCCCUGGCCCCAUGCCACAGGGACAUAUAGCAAUAGGUCCCUUCAGACCUUAUUAUAUUGUCAGGACCUACAAAGCCAGAGGGCUUGUUUAGGUUCCAUUAAGGAAAGCAAAUGACAAGGGUGCCCUUAUAGUUUUGGCAUUACGGUCAACAACCAUCAGAACUAAUCAAAUCUUUAAACUAAAUUAAAUCUUUAAGCAUUAGAAUAAAGCUCUUUGCCCCCUUUUCAACUUAAUGGUGAUAAAAUACAAAAUCAACAUGGAUUAAGCUAAAUACCAUGUUAGCAUUAACUUGUAAAUAACCAUUGGCUUUUUGUCUUACCUUUCUAACCAAUGGGUAAUGAUAGUUCAGUGUUUUGCAGUCACAAAAAUACUUGGUCAUCAACUUCUCUUUUCCUUCAUGAAGGAAAACAAAACAAAACCAUCUUGGAGCCAUGUUUCAAAAAUCAAAGCUAGACUAAUAUACCUAGGAGCUAUCAUAACUGGAUUUCUACCCUGACGCAUUGGGGUUUAUCCUAAGUAUACAAGGAUGGUUCAAUAUCAGAAAGUCUAUUGGUGUCAUUCACCACAUUAUCAGAUUUAAGGAAGAAAAAGUCAUGAGAUUAGCUCAAUGGAUGUAGAAGCAAAUUAGGUAAAGUUCAAGAUUCCUUUAAUAUUAAGGGGGAAAAAAAAAACUUCACAGCAGUAUACAAGAAUUUCCUUAACUACAUAAAUAAUACUUAUCCAAACAUGCAGCAAACAUCAGCAUUAUACUAAAUAGUGCAAACAGAGCUCUUUCCCACUGAUGUGGGUGAGACGGCAGGAGUCUCCAUAGCCAUCCCUGCUACCCGUCCUAGUGGAGGGAUGGAAAGUGGUGACCCCAGAACCAAAGGAUCGGGGCUCCACACGUGGCUCUGUGCUUCCUAGUUGUGCCAUCUUGGGCACGUUUAAAUUCUCUCUACCUCAACUGCCUACUGACAAAGACGCUCCUUGACCAAACCUUAGUCAGGCUCCCACGAGCCCUCUUCUGCAUUCAGCCUCAUCCUUGGCACGCUCCUGGGACCACCUAGUCCAAGAGUAGCAAGAAUUCUGCUAAGGCACUUGGGGGAGUUCCCCAUCCUUCAUAUCUGAUCACUCUCUCUCUCUCUAUCCCCCACCUUUGACUGGCCUUCAGCGAGAAUCCUGUUAAGUCAGGUCAGCAGGAAUCCUCUGACCCUUGGUGUGUCCUCCUAGUAAUUGUCCAUCCACAGACUCCUCUUCAUUCCGCUCCUGGCUAUGAAUCCCUGCUUGUUCUUGUUACAUUUGGAAUUGAUUCCGAUUUCUCCCAACUGUUGUGAUGGUCUUGACACCUACUGCAAUAGUCCCAAAUUAACCAUUUUAACAAGUGUCAGAAUAAUUUUUUUUCUAACACUACCAAUAAAACAGGAACAAUAAUAUUACUUACCUCAUAGACCUGUCAUGAGGAUAAAAGGAGUUAAUACAUACAAAGUGCUAGAAGAGUAACACCUAAAAAACCCUCUAUAUGCUUGAAUGAUUAUUAUUAAUACAAAGAUGUAUUUUUUAACUAUGCAUACAUUUUUGAAAAGAAAUGUAAUGAGUGGAAAGCAGUAGGCAAGAUGUUAGGAAAAAAUCCCAGAAAAUCUGAAAUAUAUCAUUUGCUAUGAGGCUGUUGGAAUACAAAACCACUUUUAAAAUCAGUACUAGUGGAGCUCCCACAGUGGCACAGUGGGUGAAGUAUCUGACUGUGUGGCUUGGGUUGCUGCAGAGGCGUGGGUUUGAUACCUGGCCCAACGCAGUGUGUUAAAGAUCCAGCAUUGCUGCAGUGCAUGUUGCAUUUGUGGCUCAAAUUCAACCCCUGGCCCAGGGAUCUUCCAUAUGCCAUGGGUGUGGCCAUAAAAAAAAAAAAAAAACCUAAUACUAGCAAAAAAAAAUUAUGCUAUCUUAUCUUCUUUAGAAACAACAAAAUGCGAGGCGCCUAAAAAUAAUCUGACAAAAUGUCUAUAACAUAUUAGGAACAUUAUAAAGCAUUAUUCAGACAUUAUGGUCCCAGCAAGGAAAGAGAGGGGUCUGGGGAUUGGAGGAGAGCAAAGAUAUAUUGUUAAAAGUGUCACUUGGCAGAGAAGUGUAUUCCAGCACCGACCAGGUGGCAUAGCAAGUACUCACCAAGUUUCUACUUAUUCACCUUCCCUCAGCUCCAAUCUUCCACCGAGUGUGUCCUUGGUGAAUCCAUCUCAAAAUGGAAGUAUCAAGGGACUUCCCGUCGAGGCUCGGCGGUUAACGAACCCGACCAUAUCCACGAGGACUUGGGUUCAAUCCCUGGCCUUGCUCAGUGGGUUAAGGAUCCGCGUUGCCAUGAGCUGUGGUGUAGGUCGCAGACGCAGCUCGGAUCCUGCGUUGCUGUGGUGUAGGUCAGGAGCUGGAGCUCUGAUUCAGUCCCUAACCUGGGAACCUCCAUAUGCCAUGGGUGUGGCCUUAAAAAGACAAAAAAAAAAGAAAGAAAGAAAGUAUCAAGAAUCCAAAGCAGAGGGGAAUAAGGAAAAGAUGGGUUUUCUUUUAUAUUCCCUCGGGGGGGGGAAUACUAAUUAUCCUCAGUGUCUUACCUUGUACUUUGGUGAAAAAGAAGAGAACCCCAAAGGCAAAAGCCAUAUCUAGAACUUUGAAAGCAGACAGGACAGUCCCAAGGAAUUUAACAAGCACAAUAACUCCAGGUUCUUUGUGGAAAAUCUUGAAACGUGGAAACAUACUUUCAGUCAUCAGCUUUUAGAAAUCAACAUGAAGAUUUAUCAUCAGUUAUAUAAAAUCUGCUAUUACUUCUUAGCCUUUAGAAAUGUUAUUUAAUUUAAAUGUUGAACAAUGACCCCAUUUUCAUACGUCUUCCUCACUAACCAUAUGUUUCUGCAGGAGAAGGCGGUUUUCACUGCCUCCUUCAUUUAAUGAAUUAUUUUAUAACCAUGAAAAUGUGAUUAUUUAUAUUUAACCAAAACACACUACAAAACUUAACUUCCUCCUGAAAGCUUCGCAUCAUUGAUGACAGAUUAGAAAAAAGCGUUCGGCAACUUAAUCUGAUUUACCAUCAUAAAUAUUCAAAUCUUACAUAUUUGUUCCUCAAAACAGUUAAGCGGCUUUAUUUAUUUUCAAUUUUAUUGUCUCAACUGUAUAAUGCAAAUCAUUUGUUGACAUUGUUUACUAGGGUGCAUCCAUCCAAUAAAAAGGUCUCAGUCUCUUUCUCGCUGUCUGUCUCUCUCUCAUGAAAUUAAUUAAAAGGAACAUGAUGGAGCUUCAGAAUUCUAUAGUCUGUCCUGCCAAAAUCAGAGUGGAUAUUUACAUCACAUUAGCUAAACAAGUUCUGUGCAUAUGCAAAAUGAGUGGUUAAUGACAUUUCACCAUUAUCAACAAUCUUUCUUUAAAAAUGUACCUCUAGGAGUUCCAUUUCCAGUAACAUGGCAGGUUAUGGGCACAGACGAAACCCUGAAAACAGCUACAAAUUAUGAAUAAUUUUUUUAAUUCUUAAAAACCUCUUUACGACAUCAUAAGGAAUUACCAGCCCCAAAGCUAAGGGAAAGUCGAAAACAGGAGAAGCGAGAAUGGUAGUGAAAUCAUUUUUGCCUUAAGAGCAGAUUUGAUGAACUUUUAUUUUCAUGGUCUUAAUGAAAAACCCCGGUCCCAUGACACAGACCUGGGCUCCAGACGACUCCUGCCCUACCAUGAGGGGUAAGAAAAGCAACCUCACACUCACGCCCACAGGAAAUGCGCUGGUGCCGAGAAGACCAGGCUGAGAGCUGAGACGCCUUUGGAAAUUUGUAACAAAAAAUAAGCUUUCUACCCAAAUUAACAUUAACGAAAACAAAACUCAUGCAUUAAAGGGUUUUGGACUUUCCAGAUGCUACCUACCACUAAAGCCAAUAAAACUGGAAUAGUUAUGUUAACAUCAGGGGGGAAAAGUAGGUUUUCAAGCAAAAACAUCAUUAGGGAUAAAGAGGGUUAUAGCAAAAUAAUAUAAGAAAAUUCACUGGGGAAAUUUUUUCUCCUAAUUUUUGUUUUGUUUUGUUUUUUCUUUUGUUUCGUCUUUAGGAGGGAAGCUACUGUUACUCUUACACAUGAUCUCUUUCCCCAAAACCUUAUGAUUCCAUGACGUCUUCCAAACUCUGAAACAAGCCUAGGCUCUAGAACUUGAAAGCCAGUCUGUAUUCCCUAGAAACAUUGUCUGAGAAGCAAAACUGCACCGAGAAGAUUUACUGGGGAGUGUUCUUUGAAGACACAUCUCUAAGGAAGAGUGGAGAGUCGAACUCUUCCUUAGCAAGGAUGCCUCUGAGCCCCUACCUCCAGGGAGCUCUGGAACUGGAGACGUGAAUGUCAGAGCUUUGUGCCCCCAUCUCAGGAGGUCAUUGAACAUGGGCUGUCCUGAGUGUUCCUGGUCUUCACUGCCGGCAGAUUCCACAUCCAGUAGCACUUAGAUCACCUUGGUAAAUGAAGUCCUAUCAAUGGGCUCACAGGUAGCUGGCAUCUCUGCAACCAUGCCAACGGUUUUACCUGCACUGGGGAGUGGAGACAGGGGCAGCUGAAGACAGGCUGGCUAGUGUCAACUGACGGAGUCAUUCUGUCUGGUUCUUUCCCACCUCUUCCGUGGACCACAGUGAAUGCGCCCUGCUGGGUACCGCCAUGCGACACGGAGAUCUUUACACUCUGCUCGCUCCUAGAACUCCAUCCAUAGGCCUCUUCCCCAGACCUCCUUGUCUCCCACCUACCAGGCUUUCUCUUUCCAGAACAUUCGCCGCUGUCCCUGAGUUUGGCCAUACGUGUCACGUGGCUUCUAAUCGUAUCUCAGGCCAUUUCCUUUCCCUGAAAAGUGGGUGGCCAGAUGACCUACCCAGAUGUGUGUCCCCUGGGGGAUCUCCCCUCCCUGCUGUCUCCCAAGGCCGUCCCUGAGUGAUGCCAUCCUGCCCCCACAGAGGACCAUCAGUGAGAGCAAAGGGAGAAAGACCCGAAUGACAGCAGGGGCUCAUGCCCGGUCCAGCCAACUGCUCCUGCAUCUUUCUCAUUCCUGACCCCACUCAUGCCAGCUCCCAAGUCCUGGUACCUCACUUCCCCUUAUGAUGAGUCCACCCAACCUUCUAAGCUGGUGGGUCUGACAGAACCUGGCAUGGUCAUGUGGUCACUUGCCAUCCCAUGAAGAGCUGGUCUCUACCAGGGCUGAGACGCUGGCCAGGAGCCACUUCCCAGUGACUAUACUUCUCUGCUGCUGCUGCUGGCGUGGCCUUUCCACAGAAUGCCAUGUGACGCUCCUGGGGCCGGCCGUGUGGUGUCUUCCCUGUCAUACAUUCUCUAGAGACCUGCCUUGCCACACCUCACUACCAAACAGCAGGGUCUCUUGUACUUCCACCCUCCCUGCUAGACUGCUUUCCUCUCUGGGUCCCACUCAAAGAGGUCACCUUCCACGUCACCCAGAAAGUGGGUUGGCAGGAUUCCCGGGGAAGAACAUUCCAAGAUGCCUGCUAAGCAUUGUGUUUCUUCUUAGUGAUUGGAGGUAUGAGAUGCAGUCAGUCCACUUUGGCUUUGGAGGGGCUCUCCCAGCAAGCCCAAAUCCUUGGAUCCCUAAAAAUGUCACCCAUGUGGCAGGUCUCCGAGUCUUUGUGGGGCUUACCUCGCAGCCUUGAAUGUGCCUGUGUCUUACCAAGGCCUUCAGUCUACCAUGGACCAAGAAUGUCACCUGCCAUAUCAGCAAACAAAGGACGAAGCAGCCACCCAAUGAGCAGCCACUGCAGCCGCCCCCAGCUGUGUUCUGUGAGGAGAUUCAGUUUGGAGAAAAGCAAUCCCUAAUUACCUGGCCCUACCUAGUUGAAGUGCACGUCAAAGGAAUGACUUCAGUGAGCCCAGACUCUUGCAUCUUCCCAUACAGAGAAAAAAUACUAAAUUCAUUAAUUAGCCAGGUCUGGUUUCCUUGAAUUAACAGUAGUAUUUGAUGUUCCCACUACCAGAUUUUUGUUGCAAACCCCCCUAUAUAUCUUGGCUCCUCCCUUACCUUUUUGGAGCUGCCCCUCGGAGCUCUCUGAGAUGCCGAGGCCCCAGCUUGAGUCCUCAUAAAGACCACCAAUUAAAACAUAAUUCUCAACUUUUAGGUUGUGCCUUUUUAUUUUUUUCAGUUGACAC
rnacentral:lncRNA from 1 species